rnacentral:rRNA from 1 species
AUUGAACGCUGGCGGCAGGCCUAACACAUGCAAGUCGAGCGGAUGAAAGGAGCUUGCUCCUGGAUUCAGCGGCGGACGGGUGAGUAAUGCCUAGGAAUCUGCCUGGUAGUGGGGGACAACGUUUCGAAAGGAACGCUAAUACCGCAUACGUCCUACGGGAGAAAGCAGGGGACCUUCGGGCCUUGCGCUAUCAGAUGAGCCUAGGUGGGAUUAGCUAGUUGGUGAGGUAAUGGCUCACCAAGGCGACGAUCCGUAACUGGUCUGAGAGGAUGAUCAGUCACACUGGAACUGAGACACGGUCCAGACUCCUACGGGAGGCAGCAGUGGGGAAUAUUGGACAAUGGGCGAAAGCCUGAUCCAGCCAUGCCGCGUGUGUGAAGAAGGUCUUCGGAUUGUAAAGCACUUUAAGUUGGGAGGAAGGGUUGUAGAUUAAUACUCUGCAAUUUUGACGUUACCGACAGAAUAGGCACCGGCUAACUCUGUGCCAGCCGCCGCAGUAAAAC